AUUGCUGAGGAGGGAAGCAGCAGGCCAGUGGGGAAGAUGAUUCUGCGGUGCUUCCAGAAUAGGGGGUGAGGCGGGGGAGGCAGAGAGAAAGGCCAGGACUUAGCUCCUGUGGACUGGCUCCGUGGGCUUCUCCCCUUCCUCCAUCUCGGCCCAUCACCCUCUCCUCCAGCCAGCACCCCGAGUCCAGGCAGACCUCGGAGGCCAAGCAGAAGCAUCCGAAACUCUUUCUACUUGUACAGAAACGUGGGCUGCCUGGGUUCAAGGUGAUCCCAGAGCAACGUGGAGGAGCUCGCCAGCCAAGAUGGCAGGGACACCUCAGGCCUUGCAACUAUAAACAGGGAAACUCUGUUGAAGAUCCAGAAUGAAGGGCAGUGGCUCUGGGGGUUGGAAAUUUGGAAAUGAUGAGCUUUCAAAAGGGAGAGCAAAGCCAGGAAGAGGAGGAGGAGGAGGAUCGAGAGGGUCAAGGAUCUCCAGCCUGGGGUCCCUGUAGCUCUGCCAAACGAGGAUCCCCAUUCUGGAGGGACCCUAAUCCUCUGCUGGUGCCUGGAGGUGUCCCAGGCAGCUUUCCAUCUCGCUCAUUAUCAUGGGCCCGCUUCCAGAACACGUCCACUCCUGGUUUCUACGACUCCGCCUUGCACACCUGUACCUCCCGUCCAGGGGAAGGACGGCUGGCUCUCGGGGGCUCAGCCAGAGGGGAGCUGACCGGAGACCAGGCCAGGCCGUCCCACCUACACGCCAGAAGCAUCUGGAGCGACCCUGUCCAACAGAUGGAGAUGGAGAUGCCCCGUAUUUACACUAUAUUGACCUGGCGUUCACCCGCAUGAGCCCGUUGAGCAGUCGCGCAGUGGCCAGCUCCACGGAAGAAGGCAACCGUCCAGUGGAUCGCACGUGUGCAUCCGUUUGGAUGUAAAUAGCCGCACGGAGGCCGGUGGUUACCCUUUGGGAGAGCCCAGAAGUUCUAAUGCUCAGCGCAGGUACGACCUCGCUUCGGCUGUCUCUGCAAAGGCCACCACCGGAUGCAGCCACCUGGCCAGCGUGCAGCCUGCGACCGCCGCCCGGGCCCUCGCGGCCCCCCUCCCCUGCACCGAGGACACCCCGCUGCAGGCCACGCUCCCCUCCAGUCUCGCUGAGAAGGGACCGCAGAGAAGCGGGCGGAAGGUCUGAUGGCCUGGCUUGGAAGCCAGACCUGAAGUCUGAUCAAAGCCUGCAGGGCCCUGCCGCUUGCCCGCUCUUCUGGGAAGUGGGCUAUUUCCAAAGCCGCGCUGAGGCGCCCCGGCCACCGGCCACCGUGGGCCCUCGGACUCUGCUUGUGACGCUCUUUCACUGCUAAUAACCUAAGGGACAGUUGUGGGGUUGAGGCAGUAAUGCGGCAGGAGCACUUGGCCCACUUCGGCUUCCACCAGAGCCUUCCCAUUCGCACGCUGAAAUAUUAGAUGUUCAGUUGGGAGUCCAAGAGCAAAAUAUUUCUGAAAUUGUGUGUGUGUGUUUUUCUUCUAAUUUAAUGUGCCAGACAAGCCUCCCUGUAAUUAAAACCAGAAACAAGGACCAGACUUAGACAGAGAUUUGAAGGCUGUAAAAUUCUAGGACAGGUUUAUGUAAAGCAAUUAAAAAGGGAGUUAAAAAUUGUUAAAAAAUUAAACACUAAUUACUUUUUUUUCUCCUCUCAUUUCUGCUGAGCUGUGUUGGCCGUGGAGCUCGAAGAACGAUAUAAAAAGGAGAAAGUUUUGCCUCGUUGCUGUAAAUCAUGUUCAACAAAUGCUUCUCUGCAUUUUGCAGCCGAACCCAUCUGCUGUCAAUUAGCCUAAAUCAUGCCUUUUCAAUUAAACGGGCUUAGGGAAGUCUGGUAGCGAAACGGGUGUGUGUGCAUGCGUGCAUGUGUGUAUGUGUGUGUGCACGUGUGUGUGAGUGUGUGUGGAGGGGGCUGGGGCGGUGGUUGCGGAGGGUGGGAGAAAGGUGAAGUCUGUGAGGUGGAAAUAUCCUUUAAAAGGUGUGAUCCUAUUUUAGCGUUUUCCAUAUAAAGUGGGGUAUUAUUUGCUGUGCUGCGGGGAGCAGUGAAGGCUGGAAACUCCGUGAAGGAGGUGAGCCUUGAGCACCGGGAGUAGAUGAAUUCUGGUGAGCUCUAGGGCAAGCGGCCGAGCUGCUGGUGCUCCCUGGUCCCCAUGGGGCAGGGGACUUGGGGCCACUGUGUUAGGGGUGCCUAAGAGGGGCAGAAGCAACAGCUGCAAGCAGAGGGCCUUGCAGCUCAGAGACAGAGGGUCCUUGGAGGGACAGCCCUAAAGGGACACUUUAGGGCUACUAAAGUGGAGGAGCCGGUGGCCUGCAGAAACACACUGGGGCACACACCAGUGAGCAAGGAGGGAGGGGAAGGGGCCAUUGUUUUUCAAAAUAAAGUGGGCUUCCCAUCCCA
rnacentral:lncRNA from 1 species